rnacentral:rRNA from 1 species
GACGAACGCUGGCGGCGUGCUUAACACAUGCAAGUCGAACGGAAAGGCCCUGCUUUUGUGGGGUGCUCGAGUGGCGAACGGGUGAGUAACACGUGAGUAACCUGCCCUUGACUUUGGGAUAACUUCAGGAAACUGGGGCUAAUACCGGAUAGGAGCUCCUGCUGCAUGGUGGGGUUUGGAAAGUUUCGGCGGUUGGGGAUGGCCUCGCGGCUUUUCAGCUUGUUGGUGGGGUAGUGGCUUACCAAGGCUUUGACGGGUAGCCGGCCUGAGAGGGUGACCGGCCACAUUGGGACUGAGAUACGGCCCAGACUCCUACGGGAGGCAGCAGUGGGGAAUAUUGCACAAUGGGCGGAAGCCUGAUGCAGCAACGCCGCGUGCGGGAUGACGGCCUUCGGGUUGUAAACCGCUUUCGCCUGUGACGAAGCGUGAGUGACGGUAAUGGGUAAAGAAGCACCGGCUAACUACGUG